UACGUAGGGGGCGAGCGUUGUCCGGAUUUAUUGGGCGUAAAGAGCGUGUAGGCGGCUUGGUAGGUCCGUUGUGAAAACUCGAGGCUCAACCUCGAGACGCCGAUGGAAACCAUCAGACUAGAGUCCGGAAGAGGAGAGUGGAAUUCCCGGUGUAGCGGUGAAAUGCGCAGAUAUCGGGAAGAACACCCGUGGCGAAGGCGGCUCUCUGGGACGGUACUGACGCUGAGACGCGAAAGCGUGGGGAGCGAACAGG
rnacentral:rRNA from 1 species